rnacentral:rRNA from 1 species
GACGAACGCUGGCGGCGUGCUUAACACAUGCAAGUCGAACGGAAAGGCCCUGCUUUUGUGGGGUGCUCGAGUGGCGAACGGGUGAGUAACACGUGAGUAACCUGCCCUUGACUUUGGGAUAACUUCAGGAAACUGGGGCUAAUACCGGAUAGGAGCUCCUGCUGCAUGGUGGGGGUUGGAAAGUUUCGGCGGUUGGGGAUGGACUCGCGGCUUAUCAGCUUGUUGGUGGGGUAGUGGCUUACCAAGGCUUUGACGGGUAGCCGGCCUGAGAGGGUGACCGGCCACAUUGGGACUGAGAUACGGCCCGGACUCCUACGGGAGGCAGCAGUGGGGAAUAUUGCACAAUGGGCGGAAGCCUGAUGCAGCAUCGCCGCGUGCGGGAUGACGGCCUUCGGGUUGUAACCCGCUUUCGCCUGUGACGAAGCGUGAGUGACGGUAAUGGGUAAAGAAGCACCGGCUAACUACGUG